rnacentral:rRNA from 1 species
CCUACGGGGGGCAGCAGUGGGGAAUAUUUGGCAAUGGGCGCAAGCCUGACCCAGCAACGCCGCGUGAAGGAAGAAGGCUCUCGGGUUGUAAACUUCUUUUCUCAGGGACGAAGCAAGUGACGGUACCUGAUGAAUAAGCAGCCCCGGCUAACUCCGUGCCAGCAGCCGCGGUAAUACGGAGGGGGCGAGCGUUAUCCGGAUUCAUUGGGUUUAAAGGGUGCGCAGGCGGGCCUUUAAGCCGGCGGUGAAAUCGCGGGGCUCAACCCCGCCGAGCCGUCGGAACUGGGGGCCUUGAGUGCGGGGGAGGCAUGCGGAAUGCGCGGUGUAGCGGUGAAAUGCAUAGAUAUCGCGAAGAACCCCGAUUGCGAAGGCAGCGUGCCGUGCCGCCACUGACGCUGAGGCACGAAAGCGCGGGGAUCGAACAGGAUUAGAUACCCCUGUAGUC